UACGGGGGGGGGUUAGUGUUAUUCAUCGUUACUGGGUGUAAAGCGCGCGUAGGCUGUUUAAUAAGUUUGAAUUAGGACAAUCCAAGCUUAACUUGGAAACUAAUUUUUUAUACUAUUAAUCUUGAGGUUAAAGGAAGAAAGCUAUACUUCUCAGAGAAAGGUGAAAUUUGUCCGAACUGGGGGGGGAUAACCAGCAAGCGAAAGCGGCUUUCUACUAUAAUAACUAACGUUUGGCGUCAAAGCUGGG
rnacentral:rRNA from 1 species